rnacentral:rRNA from 1 species
GACGAACGCUGGCGGCGUGCCUAAUACAUGCCAGUCGAACGCUGAAGGAGGGGCUUUCUCUUCUGUAUGAGUUGCGAACGGGUGAGUAACGCGUAGGUAACCUGCCUGGUAGCGGGGGAUAACUAUUGGAAACGAUAGCUAAUACCGCAUAACAGUAGAUGUUGCAUGACAUUUACUUAAAAGGUGCAAUUGCAUCACUACCAGAUGGACCUGCGUUGUAUUAGCUAGUUGGUGGGGUAACGGCUCACCAAGGCGACGAUACAUAGCCGACCUGAGAGGGUGAUCGGCCACACUGGGACUGAGACACGGCCCAGACUCCUACGGGAGGCAGCAGUAGGGAAUCUUCGGCAAUGGACGGAAGUCUGACCGAGCAACGCCGCGUGAGUGAAGACGGUCUUCGGAUUGUAAAGCUCUGUUGUAAGGGAAGAACGAGUGUGAGACUGAAAAGUUCACACUGUGACGGUACCUUACCAGAAAGGGACGGCUAACUACGUG